rnacentral:RNase_P_RNA from 1 species
CAGGUUGAUUGGAUGUGCGCGCUCGCCCCAGAGUGAGGAAAGUCCGUACACCAUAGAGCGGGAUGCCAGGUAACACCUGGAAAGGCGUAAGCUUUUGGAUCGGGCCACAGAAACAUACCGCGUUCGCGGAACGUAAGGUUGAAAAGGUGGUGUAAGAGACCACCGGCGGGUUUGGUAACAAGCCCGGCCAGGUAACCCCCAUCCGGUGCAAGGUCAAACAGAAAAGAGAGUUUGCUCGGCUCAUUUGAUUUUCGGGUAGACCGCAAGAGCGUAUCGGUGACGAUUCGCCAAGAUAGAUGCAUGUCCUCGACAGAAUACGGCUUACAGAUCAACCUGAACA